rnacentral:rRNA from 1 species
GUCUGAAUAUGGGGGGACCAUCCUCCAAGGCUAAAUACUCCUGACUGACCGAUAGUGAACCAGUACCGUGAGGGAAAGGCGAAAAGAACCCCGGCGAGGGGAGUGAAAAAGAACCUGAAACCGUGUACGUACAAGCAGUGGGAGCACGCUUAGGCGUGUGACUGCGUACCUUUUGUAUAAUGGGUCAGCGACUUAUAUUCUGUAGCAAGGUUAACCGAAUAGGGGAGCCGAAGGGAAACCGAGUCUUAACUGGGCGUUAAGUUGCAGGGUAUAGACCCGAAACCCGGUGAUCUAGCCAUGGGCAGGUUGAAGGUUGGGUAACACUAACUGGAGGACCGAACCGACUAAUGUUGAAAAAUUAGCGGAUGACUUGUGGCUGGGGGUGAAAGGCCAAUCAAACCGGGAGAUAGCUGGUUCUCCCCGAAAGCUAUUUAGGUAGCGCCUCGUGAAUUCAUCUCCGGGGGUAGAGCACUGUUUCGGCAAGGGGGUCAUCCCGACUUACCAACCCGAUGCAAACUGCGAAUACCGGAGAAUGUUAUCACGGGAGACACACGGCGGGUGCUAACGUCCGUCGUGAAGAGGGAAACAACCCAGACCGCCAGCUAAGGUCCCAAAGUCAUGGUUAAGUGGGAAACGAUGUGGGAAGGCCCAGACAGCCAGGAUGUUGGCUUAGAAGCAGCCAUCAUUUAAAGAAAGCGUAAUAGCUCACUGGUCGAGUCGGCCUGCGCGGAAGAUGUAACGGGGCUAAACCAUGCAC